AUGGUGUCAUAUUGGAGCUGUCAAAUUAAGGAAAAUAAGGUGGUUUUCAUGUGCUUGCGGAAUCCAACUAUUCAAACAAUUGAAGAAUAAUAUGAGGAAGAAAAUAGCAUGACACUAACAAAGACUGAGGCAAUUGAAAAAUGGAAUGACACUAUUCAAACUAUUAGAUAUCUUUUUUUUUCUCUCUUGUAGUUUCCAAUUUCUUUUUACUGUAACAAUUGUGAACAACCAACUAGACAUGUUAGUUGAUUAAGGUGUUUAUAUAAAUGACAAUUAUUUUUUAUCUAUAUAGUAGCUUUUUAUUGAUUCAUUAAA